UGAAUCUUCAUUUACGGGCGGCCGCACGC
rnacentral:sRNA from 1 species